rnacentral:rRNA from 1 species
GACAGAGGUGCCGAGCGUUAGGCGGAAUCACUGGGCUUAAAGCGUGUGUAGGUGGAUGCCUAAGUACCUUGUGAAAUCCCACGGCUUAACCGUGGAACUGCUUGGUAUACUGGGUGUCUUGAGCCAGCUAGGGGCUACCGGAACAAAUGGUGGAGCGGUGAAAUGCGUAGAUAUCAGGAAGAACACCAACGGCGAAGGCAGCUCGCUGGGACGGUACUGACGCUGAGACGCGAAAGCGUGGGGAGCGAACAGG